UGCCAGCCGCCGCGGUAAUACGGAGGGUGCAAGCGUUGCUCGGAAUUACUGGGCGUAAAGGGUGCGCAGGCGGAUUAUUAAGCAAGAUGUGAAAGCCCAGGGCUCAACCCUGGAACUGCAUCUUGAACUGGUAAUCUUGAGUCCGUGAGAGGGGGGUAGAAUUCCAGGUGUAGAGGUGAAAUUCGUUGAUAUCUGGAGGAAUACCGGUGGCGAAGGCGGCCCCCUGGCACGGUACUGACGCUGAGGCACGAAAGCGUGGGGAGCAAACAGGAUUAGAUA
rnacentral:rRNA from 1 species